UCAAGCUUUGACCUGUAAAAGGUAAAAGAGUUUCUCGUUUCAACUUGAAGAAACCUACAAUACUUCUGUGUAUACAUUACCUAAAAAUAAAGUAUUAUCUCCCCUUCAAUUCAAACUAGGUGGCUGGGUGGAAAAAAAAUAUAGUUUACAUCCACUAUUUCAUCUAACAAUAGAUCCGGAAAGGUUCUAGAUGCCUUAAAAUGAAGUACCUUAGAGCAUCUGUUACAAAGAUUUAUGCUUACUUGAGCAACUUCCAAAGUAGGGGAAAAAACUGGAUUACCUGGAAAAAAAUUUGAAAUGCACAGGUGCAAACUUUCUCAGAAAAUAGAAUGAUUUUGUUUUGAAUGCUGAUAGAAGAUAAAAAUGAACAAGUUUUUUAUUUAGUGAUGUUGAUUCUAUAAUUACAGCAGUCAACAUGCCAUAUAUGUAGUUGCAAGGAGAAAACAGGAUAGAAGUAUGACAAAGGGUUAUGUAAUCUAACCCAUUAC